rnacentral:siRNA from 1 species
CUAACAAGGAUACAAUUCUUACGC